rnacentral:rRNA from 1 species
AUUGAACGCUGGCGGCAGGCCUAACACAUGCAAGUCGAGCGAGCGGCGGACGGGUGAGUAAUGUCUGGGAAACUGCCUGAUGGAGGGGGAUAACUACUGGAAACGGUAGCUAAUACCGCAUACCAUCGGAUGUGCCCACAUGGGAUUAGCUAGUAGGUGGGGUAAUGGCUCACCUAGGCGACGAUCCCUAGCUGGUCUGAGAGGAUGACCAGCCACACUGGGACUGAGACACGGUCCAGACUCCUACGGGAGGCAGCAGUGGGGAAUAUUGCACAAGGGGCGAAAGCCUGAUGCAGCAAUGCCGCGUGUGUGAAGAAGGUCUUCGGGUUGUAAAGCACUUUCAGCGAGGAGGCGUUACUUGAAGAAGAAGCAACGGCUAACUCCGUGCCAGCAGCCGCGGUAAUGC